GUGUCUGUAGAGGAAGAUUCAUGGUAAAGAACACCAUAAUCUAGUCUUGAUAACUUAGUUAAAAUAAUUUGCAAGUGGGAAAGCUGCUUUUGUGGCUGUGCUUCACUUGCACAGCCAGGGAGCUGACUGGCAUCCUAUGAUUGAAAGAAUGUAUGCCAAGCAGUGCAGCUGGAGAGGAAUGAAGAAGCUACUCAGAAGAUAAAUGAAUACAGCAGUUAAUUAAAGAUAUAUAGUUUCCACUUGAAGCAGUUCUAUGUUUUUAAGGAGGAAUUGUAGGUGAAGAGGAGAAACUUGAGGCCAAUGGGCCCUAUCUGAGGUUUAACUGUGCUCUGCAAGUACAUAGCUCAUGGCUGAAAAGGAACUGCUGGCAAUUUUUACUUCUUUGUGACAUCAGAAUUUAUCAAGCAGAAGGUCUGUGGGACUUCUUACUUUGCUUUGGUUUUCUUGCUCUCAUUCUUGCACAAUAUCUUA